AACGAACGCUGGCGGCAGGCUUAACACAUGCAAGUCGAGCGCCCCGCCAGGGGCGCGGCCGACGGGUGAGUAACGCGUGGGAACGUACCUUUUGGUUCGUAACAACUCCGGGAAACUGGAGCUAAUACCGGAUAAGCCCUAACGGGGAAAGAUUUAUCGCCGAAAGAUCGGCCCGCGUCUGAUUAGCUAGUUGGUGAGGUAACGGCUCACCAAGGCGACGAUCAGUAGCUGGUCUGAGAGGAUGAUCAGCCACACUGGGACUGAGACACGGCCCAGACUCCUACGGGAGGCAGCAGUGGGGAAUAGUGGAAAAUGGGCGCAGGCCUGAUCCAGCCAUGCCGCGUGAGUGAUGAAGGCCUUAGGGUUGUAAAGCUCUUUUGUCCGGGAAGAUAAUGACUGUACCGGAAGAAUAAGCCCCGGCUAACUUCGUG
rnacentral:rRNA from 1 species